rnacentral:rRNA from 1 species
UACGUAGGGGGCAAGCGUUAUCCGGAUUUAUUGGGUGUAAAGGGGGCGCAGACGGCAGCGCAAGCCAGGAGUGAAAGCCCGGGGCCCAACCCCGGGACUGCUCUUGGAACUGCGUGGCUGGAGUGCAGGAGGGGCAGGCGGAAUUCCUGGUGUAGCGGUGAAAUGCGUAGAUAUCAGGAGGAACACCGGUGGCGAAGGCGGCCUGCUGGACUGCGACUGACGUUGAGGCCCGAAAGCGUGGGGAGCAAACAGG